GACGAACGCUGGCGGCGUGCUUAACACAUGCAAGUCGAACGGAAAGGCCCUGCUUUUGUGGGGUGCUCGAGUGGCGAACGGGUGAGUAACACGUGAGUAACCUGCCCUUGACUUUGGGAUAACUUCAGGAAACUGGGGCUAAUACCGGAUAGGAGCUCCUGCUGCAUGGUGGGGGUUGGAAAGUUUCGGCGGUUGGGGAUGGACUCGCGGCGUAUCAGCUUGUUGGUGGGGUAGUGGCUUACCAAGGCUUUGACGGGUAGCCGGCCUGAGAGGGUGACCGGCCACAUUAGGACUGAGAUACGGCCCAGACUCCUACGGGAGGCAGCAGUGGGGAAUAUUGCACUAUGGGCGGAAGCCUGAUGCAGCAACGCCGCGUGCGGGAUGACGGCCUUCGGGUUGUAAACCGCUUUCGCCUGUGACGAAGCGUGAGUGACGGUAAUGGGUAAAGAAGCACCGGCUAACUACGUG
rnacentral:rRNA from 1 species